rnacentral:tRNA from 1 species
UAGGGUAUAGUAUAUUUGUAUAUUUUAUUUACAAUAAAAAGGUUUAUAAACUCUAA